AGCAACUUGACGCAGUGGAAGCGUGCAGGGCUCAUAGUCUCGUGGCCACCCUGAAGUCCCUGGAUCGAAACCAGGAGUUGCUA
rnacentral:tRNA from 2 species